AAAUUUAUGGAAAAUUAGAAAAAAAAAAACGUACGUGAUAACGUUUAAUAUUUAAUUUAGAAAAUAAUUUAUUUAUUUUUUAAUUUUGGUUACUGUUUGUUCUAUGUUUUGGUUAUCAUUUACACUCAUUCCUUUUCAUUCCUAUUUUAUCAUUUUUAUUUUCCUGUUUAUUCUUUUUUAAUCAUAUAUCUCUUCAUUCCUUGUAUUCCUUUAUAAGUCAUCAAUCGGACCCUUAGUACCUAAACAAAGAUUGUAAAUACCAAAU
rnacentral:sRNA from 1 species